rnacentral:rRNA from 1 species
GAUGAACGCUGGCGGCGUGCCUAAUACAUGCAAGUCGAGCGAACAGACGAGGAGCUUGCUCCUCUGACGUUAGCGGCGGAAGGGUGAGUAACACGUGGAUAACCUACCUAUAAGACUGGGAGAACUUCGGGAAACCGGAGCUAAUACCGGAUAAUAUAUUGAACCGCAUGGUUCAAUAGUGAAAGACGGUUUUGCUGGCAUUUAUAGAUGGAACCGCGCCGCAUUAGUUAGUUGGUAAGGUAACGGCUUACCAAGGCAACGAUGCGUAGCCGACCUGAGAGGGUGAUCGGCCACACUGGAACUGAGACACGGUCCACACUCCUACGGGAGGCAGCAGUAGGGAAUCUUCCGCAAUGGGCGAAAGCCUGACGGAGCAACGCCGCGUGAGUGAUGAAGGUCUUCGGAUCGUAAAACUCUGUUAUUAGGGAAGAACAAAUGUGUAAGUAACUAUGCACGUCUUGACGGUACCUAAUCAGAAAGCCACGGCUAACUACGUG